AACGAACGCUGGCGGCGCGCCUAAUACAUGCAAGUCGAGCGAGAAGGUGUAGCAAUACACUUGUAAAGCGGCGAACGGGUGAGGAAUGCAUGGGUAACCUACCCUCGAGUGGGGAAUAACUAGCCGAAAGGUUAGCUGAUACCGCAUACGUUUCCGGAACUUCGGUUUCGGAAAGAAAGCAAUACCGUGGGUAUUGCGCUCCUGGAUGGGCUCAUGUCCUAUCAGCUUGUUGGUGAGGUUAACGGCUCACCAAGGCUUCGACGGGUAGCUGGUCUGAGAGGACGAUCAGCCACACUGGCACUGCGACACGGGCCAGACUCCUACGGAGCAGCAGUAAGGAAUAUUGCGCAAUGGACAAAGUCUGACGCAGCGACG
rnacentral:rRNA from 1 species